UUUGAGAAUUGAGAGUGGGUUUGUGAAGAAAUUGAGAUGCUGAAAGGGAGAAAGGUUUCAGGGCGGGGAGAGGCAGUUGCAGCCACAUACGCCUUCGGUCCCGCCGAAGAUGACGUCAUCAUCAAACACAGGCUUCUCACUCGCACAACAACAACGAGGGGCGAGCCUCCAUUGAAGAAGCUUCAGAAGAAGUUCACCGCUUUCGUCUCCGAGAUUGAAAAGGACGACGCCGACAACUACAGCGACUGCGAUAAGCUCGCGAGAGCGUUCUUGCAGGAGCUCACGACUUUCGAGAUCCCGCUUCUGAAGAGCAAAGCCAUUGUUGAUGCAAAUAUCAGAGAGCAGGAGAAUUUCAACGAGCUCAAGGACGAAACGAAUCGACAGAUCUUGAUAGCGCAGAACGACAUUGAAGAUCUUAAGAAGCUUCUGGAAGAGAGUAAAGUUGAGAGACGGCAUAAAGAAGAGUGUGAGGCUAUCAGGAAAUUGAUUGCUCAGCAACCGCCAAGGUCAGAGACGCAGAAGCUCAUUACGCAGUUGGAGAAAGAAAUCAUGGCGUUGGACAUGGAGAAUACUGCUGGUUCCAGAUUGUUGGAGCUUCGGAAGAAGCAAUUCGCUCUUUUGUUGCAUGUGGUGGAUGAGUUGCAGAACACGAUAGAGGAAGAGCAGAAGAAUCUGGUCGAGGAGAUGAGAAUAGCAACCGAGGAACUUAAGAAUGGGAUGGAGAAUGGAAGUGGAGGCUCAGAAGCAAUGACAAUUGACCAGUAACUAGGUUCGGUCUCAAUCUUGCUGUUGUAACAUCAUCUACUCUUUAAGAAGCAAACAUGGAGUUUCCCCCCCUAAGGCUUUGAAGAUUUUGGUCGUCAAAAUGGUCAUAGUGAGCAUUACCUCCUUUGGUGUUCCUUAUUUGACGUAUAUGAUGAUUAGCAUCACCAAAGAGCAGGUUAACAAACAUUGCAUCAUAUUCAAUAAUUCAAACUCAGCAUGGACAGCAUAGAUAUUAUAUGGCCUUACUCAAUUGGCUUUGCCUUUGCAACAUCUAAUUGACUAUCCCCCAGAAAGGAUAAUUUUUUUAUAAAAUUAUAAUUAAAUCUUUAUCCAUAUCUACAAGCAAGUGUCGUGUGCAAAGAGGAAGGCCUGUUAAUCACGUAGAAAGACGCAAUAAUCAACGUGAAAUCAUAUUAUUGGUAAUCAACUUGAUUUGGUAAACAGAGAAAAUAGCUACGUGUUUGUGUGGCUUUUAUAAGAAUCUAAUUCUGAUAGAUUUCUAGUAUUAAAAAUUCAAAACAAGUCAUCUAUUUAUUUAUUUAAUUUAAUAUUUAAUCAUAUAUCAAUAUCAAUAUAUUAGUAAAGUAUCCCACUUGCAUAAUUUUUAUGUUACAAUAUCAUAUAACAUGACACGUGGACAAUAAAAAGAAACUACUAAGAAAGUUGAUUAAUCUCUUCUAAUAAUAUUUAUAAUUGUGCUCCCCCGUCAAUGUUGUAGUUUAUAAUUUAUAUUGUAUUUGCCUUCUCAAAAAUUAACAAAUAGGAGGUAGUAGCAAACUUCAACAUAAGGCAAUAAGCACUCUAAAAAAAGGGUAUUAUCAUUUAUCAAAGCCAUAUAUAAUGUGUUGUUGUUGCUCUGAUGAGGACCGAAAAUGCAGGCCUAUUGGGUUUCUGUUAGGCCUACCUUUUGCUUUCGUUUCUCUCCUAAUCUCCCUUGUGGGUGUCAUUGUUUGGAUCGUUGGGUUGAUUUUGACAUGCAUAUGCCCAUGUUGCCUUUGUGUGACCCUCAUAGUUGAGUUUGCUCUGGCUUUGAUCAAGGCUCCAUUUUCAGUCAUGGAGUGGUUCACCUCUAAGAUUCCAUGUUAGAGAUAUUUGUAUCAUAUGAAGUCUUUGAAGUAGUGGUGAAUAUGAUAGCAAUCCACCGUAUAUUCUUUUGUUAAUUCGUGUAUUCAAUUUCUUUGAUUAUGGUUUGAUAAAUAUAUAGUGCUCAUCAUGAAACAACUCUUGGUUGUAAAAUCCUGUAUGCCAAAAUCUGAAUUUGAAAGUAGGGUUCUUGUUUUUUGUUGCCUUUUUUUGGCAAGAACUAAAGAAAAUUAUUUGUAUUUAAAGAUUACAAUAUUGUGUCUA